CACCAUUCCCUCCUCAAACGCCACCACAACAACAACCCUUCAGAAACUCCUCCCCCCACAUCACUCUUCCUCAAACCCUCCACACCAACCUUAACUCUCUCCCACCACACUCUUUCUACUAACUCUCAUAUCACUUUCUUUUCCCUCUCCCAAACCACACCCUCUUCAUCCUCCUCCACCUCCCAAACCAGCCCCUCCUUUGACCUCCUCCGCCACCACCUCUCCUCCCAAAACUUCCAGCUAGCUGAUGAAGAGACCCGCCGUCUCCUCAUCGUGCUUGCUGGAGAACCAGCUCAGAAGCGCGGCUAUGUCUU
rnacentral:lncRNA from 1 species